GACGAACGCUGGCGGCGGGCUUAACACAUGCAAGUCGAACGGAAAGGCCCUGCUUUUGUGGGGUGCUCGCGUGGCGAACGUGUGAGUAACACGUGAGUAACCUGCCCUUGACUUUGGGAUAACUUCAGAAAACUGCGGCUAAUACCGGAUAGGAGCUCCUGAUGCAUGGUGGGGGUCGGAAAGUUUCGGCGGUGUGGGAUUGACUCGCGGCUUAUGAGCUUGUUGGUGGGGUAGUUGCUUACCAAGGCUUUGACGGGUAGCCGGCCUGAGAAGGUGACCGGCCACAUUGGGCCUGAGAUAGGGCCCAGUGUCCUACGGGAGGCAGCAGUGGGGAAUAUUGCCCAAUGGGCGGAAGCCUGAUGCAGCAACGCCGCGUGCGGGAUGACGGCCUUCGGGUUGUAAACCGCUUUCGCCUGUGACGAAGCGUGAGUGACGGUAAUGGGUAAAGAAGCACCGGCUAACUACGUG
rnacentral:rRNA from 1 species